rnacentral:rRNA from 1 species
UACGGAGGAUGCAAGCGUUAUCCGGAAUGAUUGGGCGUAAAGCGUCCGCAGGUGGUUAUACAAGUCUGCUGUCAAAGCGCAAGGCUCAACCUUGUAAAGGCAGUGGAAACUGUGUGACUAGAGAGUGAUAGGGGCAGAGGGAAUUCCCAGUGUAGCGGUGAAAUGCGUAGAGAUUGGGAAGAACACCGGUGGCGAAAGCGCUCUGCUGGGGUCAUAUCUGACACUGAGGGACGAAAGCUAGGGAGCGAAAGGG